rnacentral:rRNA from 1 species
AUUGAACGCUGGCGGCAUGCUUUACACAUGCAAGUCGAACGGUAACAGGCCUUCGGGUGCUGACGAGUGGCGAACGGGUGAGUAAUGCAUCGGAACGUGCCCAGAGGUGGGGGAUAACGCAGCGAAAGCUGUGCUAAUACCGCAUGUGAUCUGAGGAUGAAAGCGGGGGACCAGGCAGCAAUGUUUGGCCUCGCGCCUUUGGAGCGGCCGAUGUCAGAUUAGGUAGUUGGUGGGGUAAAGGCCUACCAAGCCGACGAUCUGUAGCUGGUCUGAGAGGACGACCAGCCACACUGGGACUGAGACACGGCCCAGACUCCUACGGGAGGCAGCAGUGGGGAAUUUUGGACAAUGGGCGCAAGCCUGAUUCAGCAAUGCCGCGUGCGGGAAGAAGGCCUUCGGGUUGUAAACCGCUUUUGUACGGAACGAAAAGGCUCUGGCUAAUACCUGGGGCUGAUGACGGUACCGUAAGAAUAAGCACCGGCUAACUACGUG